GAUGAACGCUAGCUACAGGCUUAACACAUGCAAGUCGAGGGGAAACGAUAUUGGAAGCUUGCUUCCGAUAGGCGUCGACCGGCGCACGGGUGAGUAACGCGUAUCCAACCUGCCCAUCACUUGGGGAUAACCUUGCGAAAGUAAGACUAAUACCCAAUGACGUCUCUAGAAGACAUCUGAAGGAGAUUAAAGAUUUAUCGGUGAUGGAUGGGGAUGCGUCUGAUUAGCUUGUUGGCGGGGGUAACGGCCCACCAAGGCGACGAUCAGUAGGGGUUCUGAGAGGAAGGUCCCCCACAUUGGAACUGAGACACGGUCCAAACUCCUACGGGAGGCAGCAGUGAGGAAUAUUGGUCAAUGGACGAGAGUCUGAACCAGCCAAGUAGCGUGCAGGAUGACGGCCCUAUGGGUUGUAAACUUCUUUAUAUGGGAAUAAAGUAUUCCACGUGUGGGAUUUUGUAUGUACCAUAUGAAUAAGGAUCGGCUAAUUCCGUGCCAGCAGCCG
rnacentral:rRNA from 1 species